GAACUAUUUUAUUUGAUUAGUAUAUAUUUAUCUAUUUGUUCAUUUGUUUAUUAUUUUUAGACAGGAUUUCUUAUAGCUCAGGAUGUCUUGCUACUAGCAAUGUAGCUGAGGAUGACCUUGAAUUCCUGAUCUUGCGUCUAACUUCCAAGUGCUGGGAUUAUAGGCAUGUACCAGUGUGUCUGGCUUUCAUGUAGUGAAUGGAAAAGACAACGAAGAGACUGAGGGUGUAGCUCCACGGUAGAGUGAUUGCCUAGCAACGGGAAAGAAACAGAUGAAAUUGUGAAUCACUGCAAUUGCGAACUGAAAUCAUUCAUACUGUUUUUCUCCUCCGCUGUGGCACACAGUUUUAGUUUGCGGCUGAUACAAAAGAUGGAUGGAACAGUUCAGAGCUUCGUGCCUGCCAGGAGGGAAGGAGAUGACUUGGAAGUGGGAAGGUCUUCCUUUUCUGCCUUUGUGGACUGUGAAGAGAAGUGGUCAGAUGUAGGGUAAACACAUUCUGGGAAUUACACGCUCCUGCUGUUCUCGUCUGGCCAACGCUGUGCGCUCGCGGUGGGCGCUGAGUGGACGGAGGGACAGGAGGUUUGGGAAAGGGCCACUUGGCUGAGCUCUGAGCCUGAAAACAUUUGGUCCGUGUGAAUGCCACAGCGGAGGACGUUCAUAAUCAGACAGGAUGACCCGUUCUGCGGACAGCAGUAAGCUGUUCUGUCUCCAGACUGUUUGGUGCUUGUUCGGAGGGCUCAGGAACAGAACGACUUGAGACAGGAGUGGAGGAUGGUGCCGGAAAUCAGUGCAGUACAGACUUCUCCAGUAGUAAUUCUAUCAGUACUAAUUACUCCUGGCUUCCCCAAAUGAUGAGCCCACCCAGGACCGGCCAACUACCUGCCAUCAGAUUUUUAUUUCUUUGUCUUGUCAUGGAGACUCAGAUUCUUCCCAUUGGACUGCCCAUUUAUUCCCUGAGCCUGGAUUUGAUCUUUGCCGCUUAGACUGUUGUUUCUGAUGUCAGAAAAUCUGUACGCCGUGGAAUUCUUGUUUGCCUCUUACCUUCACGGGAUGGGACUCAAAGUAGCCGGCUAAUGUCUGUGAAUGUGACUGCACUUCAUGUAUGCCAUCUUUUGAGGCAUCCCCUUCCCAUGCCGAAACAUUAUUCAGAUAGAUUCAAAACCUGCUAAUGACCAUGGCGAGGUUGUUUUUGAGACAAGGUCUACGGCCCAAGCUGGCUUGGAACUCACCAUGUAGCCAAGGAAGACUUUGAGCUACUGGUCCUCCUGCCUCCCCCUCCCAAGUGAUGGCAACACAGGCAUAGACCACCAUACUUGGCAUAAAGGUUUUGUUUAUGUGGGUUUAUCUAUUGAUAUUUACAGCAUAAAGAAAUUAAGACUUGGAUGGCUAGUGCUACACAGGGGGAGACCAGCACUGAGGUGAAAUCGUCUGAGAAGUGUUUCCUCAGAGUCAGCACGCAGAAGCUGUGCUCCAGAGGCAGCUAAGGCUGUACCUUGUACUCUCAGCUGAAGCUUGGAGUGUUCAGAGUCACCCAUGUAGACCUGAUUUUGAAGACACAAAUGGACCGUGGAAAGCAGCUGAGACCUGGCGCUGUGUGGCAGGGCUGGAGUUCCUAAAGCAGAAGAUUCCCAGCAUUUUGAAGAUGCCAAUACCACGUAGUGAUUACCAUGGACCGCAACGGGUGGAGUGGAGCUGCCCAAGCUUAGGAGACAGCUGCGUGGGCUGCAGAGGGUGGAGCCAGAGGAGUGGCUCACGCCCUUCGGAGGAGCCCAGAAAUGGGGCACUGAGUUAUUUACACAGUUGUAGCCUGUGUCUGCUUUGUUCAGAUUGUGACUGUGCCUUGGCUCUUCCCUCUGCAAGUGAAAGUAUUUAUUUUUUUAUUAUUUUACUUUUUUUUUUAAAAUAGUUUU